rnacentral:rRNA from 1 species
AUUGAACGCUGGCGGCAUGCCUUACACAUGCAAGUCGAACGGCAGCACGGACUUCGGUCUGGUGGCGAGUGGCGAACGGGUGAGUAAUAUAUCGGAACAUACCCUAGAGUGGGGGAUAACGUAGCGAAAGUUACGCUAAUACCGCAUACGAUCUAAGGAUGAAAGCGGGGGAGCGCAAGGCCUCGUGCCCAUGGAGUGGCCGAUAUCUGAUUAGCUAGUUGGUGAGGUAAAGGCUCACCAAGGCGACGAUCAGUAGCUGGUUUGAGAGAACGACCAGCCACACUGGAACUGAGACACGGUCCAGACUCCUACGGGAGGCAGCAGUGGGGAAUUUUGGACAAUGGGCGCAAGCCUGAUCCAGCAAUGCCGCGUGAGUGAAGAAGGCCUUCGGGUUGUAAAGCUCUUUUGUCAGGGAAGAAACGGUGAGUCCUAAUACGGCUUGCUAAUGACGGUACCUGAAGAAUAAGCACCGGCUAACUACGUGCCAGCCGCCGCCGUAACAC